CCUGCAGGCUCCUAUGCCAGAGAGCCCAGUCUUGGUGGGAUACCUACAACUCCCUUCCUUCUAUGGAAAGAAAAUCUAUGCUAAAAGUCUUUCCUGCCUUCUUAGGAGGGUAGUCCUUUUAGGUAUUAGCUUGAGCUUCAGAGGGUAAAAGGCUCAAAUGCCACAAUAAUAGCAAACGCCAAGAUCAUGCUUCCAACCUGACAGUCGGGCCAGCUGUGAGCCCAGGGAGCAGGGUUUGUGGAUCUGAGCCUGCCUGACAAGGCUGUGGCAGGAUGCCACGAGUGCCACCAAACAUCUAGAAAGGAGCAUGACAGCACAAAGAACCGGGUUUGCUGGUGAGAAUUUUGACAGCCCAUUUCAGAUCCAGCUGUGACUUUCCCA
rnacentral:lncRNA from 1 species